rnacentral:rRNA from 1 species
GGUCAAGUGAAGAAGCGCAUACGGUGGAUGCCUUGGCAGUCAGAGGCGAUGAAAGACGUGGUAGCCUGCGAAAAGCUUCGGGGAGUCGGCAAACAGACUGUGAUCCGGAGGUAUCUGAAUGGGGGAACCCAGCCAUCAUAAGAUGGUUAUCUUGUACUGAAUACAUAGGUGCAAGAGGCGAACCAGGGGAACUGAAACAUCUAAGUACCCUGAGGAAAAGAAAUCAACCGAGAUUCCCUUAGUAGUGGCGAGCGAACGGGGACCAGCCCUUAAGUUGUAUUGAGAUUAGCGGAACACUCUGGAAAGGGUGGCCAUAGUGGGUGAUAGCCCUGUACGCGAAAAUCCCUUUGCAAUGAAAUCGAGUAGGACGGGGCACGAGAAACCUUGUCUGAAUAUGGGGGGACCAUCCUCCAAGGCUAAAUACUACUGACUGACCGAUAGUGAACCAGUACCGUGAGGGAAAGGCGAAAAGAACCGCGGAGAGCGGAGUGAAAUAGAUCCUGAAACCGUAUGCGUACAAGCAGUGGGAGCCCACUUUGUUGGGUGACUGCGUACCUUUUGUAUAAUGGGUCAGCGACUUAUUUUCAGUGGCGAGCUUAACCGAAUAGGGGAGGCGUAGCGAAAGCGAGUCUUAAUAGGGCGUCUAGUCGCUGGGAAUAGACCCGAAACCGGGCGAUCUAUCCAUGGGCAGGUUGAAGGUUGGGUAACACUAACUGGAGGACCGAACCGACUACCGUUGAAAAGUUAGCGGAUGACCUGUGGAUCGGAGUGAAAGGCUAAUCAAGCUCGGAGAUAGCUGGUUCUCCUCGAAAGCUAUUUAGGUAGCGCCUCAUGUAUCACUGUAGGGGGUAGAGCACUGUUUCGGCUAGGGGGUCAUCCCGACUUACCAAACCGAUGCAAACUCCGAAUACCUACAAGUGCCGAGCAUGGGAGACACACGGCGGGUGCUAACGUCCGUCGUGAAAAGGGAAACAACCCAGACCGUCAGCUAAGGUCCCAAAGUCAUGGUUAAGUGGGAAACGAUGUGGGAAGGCUUAGACAGCUAGGAGGUUGGCUUAGAAGCAGCCACCCUUUAAAGAAAGCGUAAUAGCUCACUAGUCGAGUCGGCCUGCGCGGAAGAUGUAACGGGGCUCAAACCAUGCACCGAAGCUACGGGUAUCAUCUUUUGAUGAUGCGGUAGAGGAGCGUUCUGUAAGCCUGUGAAGGUGAGUUGAGAAGCUUGCUGGAGGUAUCAGAAGUGCGAAUGCUGACAUGAGUAACGACAAUGGGUGUGAAAAACACCCACGCCGAAAGACCAAGGUUUCCUGCGCAACGUUAAUCGACGCAGGGUUAGUCGGUCCCUAAGGCGAGGCUGAAAAGCGUAGUCGAUGGAAAACAGGUUAAUAUUCCUGUACUUCUGGUUAUUGCGAUGGAGGGACGGAGAAGGCUAGGCCAGCCUGGCGUUGGUUGUCCAGGUUUAAGGUGGUAGGCUGAGAUCUUAGGUAAAUCCGGGAUCUUAAGGCCGAGAGCUGAUGACGAGUGUUCUUUUAGAACACGAAGUGGUUGAUGCCAUGCUUCCAAGAAAAGCUUCUAAGCUUCAGGUAACCAGGAACCGUACCCCAAACCGACACAGGUGGUUGGGUAGAGAAUACCAAGGCGCUUGAGAGAACUCGGGUGAAGGAACUAGGCAAAAUGGCACCGUAACUUCGGGAGAAGGUGCGCCGGUGAGGGUUAAGCAUUUACUGCGUAAGCCCAUGCCGGUCGAAGAUACCAGGCCGCUGCGACUGUUUAUUAAAAACACAGCACUCUGCAAACACGAAAGUGGACGUAUAGGGUGUGACGCCUGCCCGGUGCCGGAAGGUUAAUUGAUGGGGUUAGCGCAAGCGAAGCUCUUGAUCGAAGCCCCGGUAAACGGCGGCCGUAACUAUAACGGUCCUAAGGUAGCGAAAUUCCUUGUCGGGUAAGUUCCGACCUGCACGAAUGGCGUAACGAUGGCGGCGCUGUCUCCACCCGAGACUCAGUGAAAUUGAAAUCGCUGUGAAGAUGCAGUGUAUCCGCGGCUAGACGGAAAGACCCCGUGAACCUUUACUAUAGCUUUGCACUGGACUUUGAAUUUGCUUGUGUAGGAUAGGUGGGAGGCUUUGAAGCGUGGACGCCAGUCUGCGUGGAGCCAACCUUGAAAUACCACCCUGGCAACUUUGAGGUUCUAACUCAGGUCCGUUAUCCGGAUCGAGGACAGUGUAUGGUGGGUAGUUUGACUGGGGCGGUCUCCUCCUAAAGAGUAACGGAGGAGUACGAAGGUGCGCUCAGACCGGUCGGAAAUCGGUCGUAGAGUAUAAAGGCAAAAGCGCGCUUGACUGCGAGACAGACACGUCGAGCAGGUACGAAAGUAGGUCUUAGUGAUCCGGUGGUUCUGUAUGGAAGGGCCAUCGCUCAACGGAUAAAAGGUACUCCGGGGAUAACAGGCUGAUACCGCCCAAGAGUUCAUAUCGACGGCGGUGUUUGGCACCUCGAUGUCGGCUCAUCACAUCCUGGGGCUGAAGCCGGUCCCAAGGGUAUGGCUGUUCGCCAUUUAAAGUGGUACGCGAGCUGGGUUUAGAACGUCGUGAGACAGUUCGGUCCCUAUCUGCCGUGGACGUUUGAGAUUUGAGAGGGGCUGCUCCUAGUACGAGAGGACCGGAGUGGACGAACCUCUGGUGUUCCGGUUGUCACGCCAGUGGCAUUGCCGGGUAGCUAUGUUCGGAAAAGAUAACCGCUGAAAGCAUCUAAGCGGGAAACUUGCCUCAAGAUGAGAUCUCACUGGAACCUUGAGUUCCCUAAAGGGCCGUCGAAGACUACGACGUUGAUAGGUUGGGUGUGUAAGCGCUGUGAGGCGUUGAGCUAACCAAUACUAAUUGCCCGUGAGGCUUGACCAU